UACGAAGGGGGCUAGCGUUGCUCGGAAUCACUGGGCGUAAAGCGCACGUAGGCGGAUUGCUAAGUCAGGGGUGAAAUCCUGGAGCUCAACUCCAGAACUGCCUUUGAUACUGGCGACCUUGAGUCCGGGAGAGGUGAGUGGAACUGCGAGUGUAGAGGUGAAAUUCGUAGAUAUUCGCAAGAACACCAGUGUCGAAGGCGGCUCACUGGCCCGGUACUGACGCUGAGGUGCGAAAGCGUGGGGAGCAAACAGG
rnacentral:rRNA from 1 species